ACGCUCGACACCUACGGAGGCAGCAGUCGGGAAUAUUGCGCAAUGGAGGAAACUCUGACGCAGUGACGCCGCGUGCAGGAAGAAGGUUUUCGGAUUGUAAACUGCUUUAGACAGGGAAGAAAGAAAUGACAGUACCUGUAGAAUAAGCUCCGGCUAACUACGUGCCAUCAGCCGCGGUAAUCUGAGCGGGCUGGCAAGGC
rnacentral:rRNA from 1 species